GGGAGGCGGGGGCAGGCGCGG
rnacentral:misc_RNA from 1 species